GCCUUCGUGUUGUAAUGGUAGCACAUUCGGCGCGUAUUCGAGAGGUCCAGGUUCGAGUUCCGGCGAGGGCA
rnacentral:tRNA from 1 species